GGUAACAGUUUGUCCAAAUCUCUCGUUCUGUGUCUUUUGUUGAAACAUUCUGUUUGUCUCAUCCUUCUCUCUUUCUCCACGUGACGCCUUUGCUGCAGAUACAGGCUGGCUGUAAGGCCUCUAGCAUAGACAAGGUGGUACGGAGUCUGCGUCCCAUGAGAAGCUGUGCCGGGCUGUAGCCAUUUGCCAGCGCUGUGGUUCUGUCAGUCAGUAGUGCUCUGCAUGGAUCACUGGCUGUCUUGAGGAGGUUUUUGACUGUUUGUAUGGCUCUCUACCUGUGACUUGGUGAACAAAUCAGUUCCAGGGGCAGCUGGUCAAUAGAGGGUGCUCGGGGGCCGCCCCCUCUGUCUCACAUCAUGUCGAGUCACAGUCCUUCCUUUAAUAAAACGUUUUUAAAAUAACAUUUACAUGUAUGUCAUAUGUUUUUUAACAAGCAAACUGGAUAAUACAGCCUGUAGAUAGUUACUAAAAUGUAUAAUUUGUAAUAAAAAGUCACAUUAGAAAUGUCAUGUCCGGCCGGGGCGCACUGAUCUUUCCCCAUUGACUCUCGUUAUAACUUUGACAUGCGCAGUUCGUACAGGAUGACCGCGCCCUGCUGAGCGAUCAGAGGGAGACAGCCUGUCUCCCUCUGAUCGCUUUACACACCACCGGCCAUGGGGUGGCAGCAGAGAGCACAGAUGAGGAGGUGCUGGCUUUAAUCUCUAAAAUGUGAGGAUUUACUUUUUUGUCAUUUAUUAAUGUGAAUAGAAAUAUUAGUUGACACAAGUGGCACUUUAGAUUGAAAGCCUGUUGAUUUUCAUAUGUUCUGAAGUCUGAGGAACUCCUGUUUUUCUUUAUUUUCAUUGUAAAUAUUAAAUGUUAGUUGACAGAAGCACUUUGGGCUCAAAGCCUAAGAUAAGACAGGUUUUAUUUGUCACAUGCACAGUUAUACAUAGUAUAAUGCCUAAUGGUUUCAGUAUUUUUUUUUCAGGCAAAGUGACAAAUUUUUAUUGCUUUGAUCUUAAAUAUGCAGAUUUGCUGUUUUCUCAUUGUCGUGUCAGGUUGUUAAUGUAAAAGUUAGCUCACAGAAGCACUGUCUGCUUUAAACCUUUUAGUUAGGUUUUUUUUAACAAAAUGUCCAAUGUUUGUUGGUUUCACAGGUAUGGAUUUGUUUUUGUUUAUUUGAGUAUGUAAAUAUAAAUAUGUUGUUGACAGAAGAAGCACUUGGCACUCUGAAGCUGGAAAAAUGAAUGGUUUCUUUUUUUUACUUUUGAAGUAAAAAAUAGAUGCAUAUUUAUACAUUCUUAAUUUUUUUAAUUAUAGAAAAGGAGAUUUUAAGGGUUUGUGUGUACCAAUUACACCUUAUCUGGAGCAAAUCAGAUCAAACACGGGAGAUAAAUUCAAAUUCACCAGCUGGUAACAUUUACGUGCAUUUAAUUGUCUAUUUGACUCAGCAGUAGUGCUUAGGUGUACCCUCCUAGUGGUGCAUAGUAAUAGCACAUCAAAUGGCUGUGAACUUAAUUUACAUCAAUUCUUGUAUUCCGGCGUUGCCGACUCGGCUAUUUGGUUUGGUAAAUUAAGUGCGCCCCGCCCAAGAGAAAAAAAUCACCAGCCGCCACUGAUCAGUUCCCAACUUCUGCCAUGACGUUUCAGCUCCAUCUGUGAACAUGAGAGGCUCUCUCACAUUGACCGAACUAAUUUUGCCUCCACAUCUGCAGGAGUUUUCUGUUUGUUGGUUCCUCCUCCGACCACCAGGUGGCGCCUCCUGCUGUGGAUUGAGGCUGUUGGUGAGAAAGUGGAGGUGGAUCAGCUGCAGCUGACGCUGGUUUGUUGUUGUUUCUGUUGUGGCUGUACAGUGGCUCCAGAUCCAGGAUGCAGGACACUGAAUCCAGUGUCUCAUGUGGCCCUGUAGCUUCUCCUCAGAAUCCUCAGAGGCCGACUCAGAAUCACUCCCACUGGGAAGGCGUGUGAAGGAAGGUCCACCCGGCCGGUCCAGGAGCUCCGGUCCAGCAGAGCAGCGUCAGGAUGGAGACGCAAGCAGGCGAGUUAACCAGAGAGCCGACACGUUCACACCGACAGCUUCCCUCCAGAUCCCACUUUAUGUCUUCAACUAGGACUGGAGGUCAUUUGUUUGGAGCUAUCUGGUUCAUUUUUGUUGACUCUUUUUAAAAUGCAGAAUAAAUAGAUUUCCAUGAAAUAUCACGAUGUUCAGCUUAGAUUUGGGUGAUUCUCCUGAUGGAACUGAACAUCACAGAUGACUAGUCCAAGUCCCAUCAGAAGGUUGAAAAAUCCAACGGUUCCUUCUGUUUUUACAGUUUGUGACACUGGUAAACGGUGUCUUUUUUUUCUAAAGACAACAGCUGGUGGUUUUUUGGGCUUGAAAGAUUGAACCUAAAUGCUUUGGUAGUCAAUAACAACUGCUUUUUUUAGAUCAAGCAGAGGAAAAAAAUAUGGAAUCAUGAAAAACAAACAAGCAAACAAAAAGAAAAACACUCCAAGACAAUACCCGGGACUUUGUUGCACCACUUCUGGCUUUCCUAACAGCUUGCGGUCUCUGAGGACUUAACGAGUGACUCUUCAGAACUCUUCAUCAAUGUGGCUCCAACUUUCUCUGGUUGCUGUUGCCAGAUCAGCUUUGCAGGUUGGAGCCUUGUCAUGGACCAUUUCCUUCAGUUUCCACCACAGAUUUUCAGUUGGAUUGAGAUCCGGACUAUCUGCAGGCCACAACAUUGACCUCAUGUGUCUUUCUUCAAGGACAGUUUUCACAGUUUUUGCUCUGUGGCUCUCAGAUGCGUCAUCGUCUUGACAAAUGUCUUCAUCGUCCCCAAACAUCCUUUCAAUCCAUGGAAUAAGGAAAGUGUCCAAAAUGUCAACGUAAACUUGUGCAUUUAUUGAAGACGUGAUGACAGCCAUCCCCCCAGUGCCUUUGCCUGACAUGCAGCCCCACAUCAUCAAUGACUGUGGGAAUCUGCAUGUUUUCUUCAGGCAGUCGUCUUCAUGAAUCUCAUUGGAACAACACCAAACAAAAGUUCCAGCAUCGUCACUUUGCCCAAUGCACAUUCGCGAUUCAUCACCGAACAGGACUUCCAUCCAGUCGUCCACAGUCCACUGCUGCUUUUCCUCAGCCCGUUGACUCCAGUUUCCACCCACUGGUUCCUCAUUUGUUUUGCUGCAUUUUCUGUUUUCAAGACACGUUGCUUUAGGUUUUCUGUCUUGACGCUUUGACGUCUCCCUGGGUCUACUCGUAUGCUUGCCUUUUACAACCUUCCCAUGGUCCAGAUUUUAGACACAGAUGACAACAAGCAGCAUCUUUUGCAACAUUCCGUGAUGAUUUACCUUCUUGAAGAAAUUUGACGAUCCUUUCCUUUGUUUCAACGGACAUCUCUGGUGUUGGAGCCGUGAUUCAUGUCGAUCCGCUUGGUGCAGCAGCUCUCCGAGGUGUGAGCGCUCCUUUUCGACCGCAGACUAAUGAGCACAUUUAAUCAGACGCAGGUGUUAGUUUUGGAAAUGGAAAUUUACAGGGUGAUUCCAUCAUUUGUUUCUCAGAACUGAGUGAUUCCAUCAUUUUCCCCUCUGCUUGAUCUGAUAAAGCAAUUGUUCUUGAUUACCACAAUGUUUUACUUUCUUUUUACUUUAUUUGAGUGUUUCUUAAAGCCAGAAAGUUUCCAUUUGAAAUGAUGUUUUGUGGCAUGUCUGCGCUGGAAAAAAUGCUCCUCUCAAAACAGGAAACAAAAACCUUAUUUCAAGGAACUUUUAAGUUGAAAUUUUUGAAAAAAAUCUGCCAAUACAAGUGAAAAAUGGCUUGGUCAGAUUUUGUGAAAUGAUAUAUAUUUACAAUCUUCAGAUCUCAAAAUUAGUUGGGCGAACUUAUUUUCAGCUACAUUUUACCAGCAUUGUUAAGCGUAGGUGUCUUAAAAUAAGCUGGAUAUGCUAAAAAAAAAUCAGUUUUUCACUCAAAAAUAGAUUUUCGCUUCCAUGUAACCUCCUAAUUUUAGAUGUAUUAACCCUCUUCAUUUAUCCUUAAAAGUUUUAUUUCAAAAAAAUCCCCCCAAAUUUGGCAAGAAAAUUCUUGUAAAUAUUUUCAAAAAAUUAGUAAAAGUCUUCCAAAAAAAUCCUAAAAAUAUCUAAAAUGAUUACAUGUACAUCAGUAGAACUUCUGAUAUUUUCUUUUAGAACAUUCACAGAAAAAUCAACCAAAGUCCAGCAAAAUUCACUUGAUUUUGGUUGAUUUUUAUGUGAGCGUUCUUCAAGAAACAUUUUGAAUUAUUUUUUUCCACCAAAAAAUGUUCAAAAAUUAACCAAAAUGUUGAAAAUGUGAACAUCUGUUGGGGAUUUUGAAUGGGGACGAAUUUCAGUGAGAUUUUUAAAAUUGUUUGCUGUUCUCUCCCAUUUGUGACAUGAAGAAGGUGACUUGUGUGGCUUUGAAAUUGUGCUAAAAUGUCAAAAUGAGUGAUCAGGAGAAGAGUGUGACUUUUUGACAUUGUGUUUUUAGCAUGUUCUUUGAAAGUCAUAGACGGAUUAGCUUGUGUCUAUGAGUUUUAAAUCUUUUGGAGAUUGUUUUUUUUUUUUCCUUUUCGU